rnacentral:rRNA from 1 species
AGCGAACGCUGGCGGCAGGCCUAACACAUGCAAGUCGAACGAACUCUUCGGAGUUAGUGGCGGCCGGGUGAGUAACACGUGGGAACGUGCCUUUAGGUUCGGAAUAACUCAGGGAAACUUGUGCUAAUACCGAAUGUGCCCUUCUGGGGAAAGAUUUAUCGCCUUUAGAGCGGCCCGCGUCUGAUUAGCUAGUUGGUGAGGUAAAGGCUCACCAAGGCGACGAUCAGUAGCUGGUCUGAGAGGAUGAUCAGCCACAUUGGGACUGAGACACGGCCGAAACUCCUACGGGAUGCAGCAGUGGGUAAUCUUGCGCAAUGGGCGAAAGCCUGACGCAGCCAUGCCGCGUGAAUGAUGAAGGUCGUAGGAUUGUAAAAUUCUUUCACCGGGGACGAUAAUGACGGUACCCGGAGAAGAAGCCCCGGCUAACUUCGUG